CAACUACUCCCUCUGUCCCAAAUUUCUUGUCUUAGAUUUGUCUAGAUACGGAUGUAUCUAAUACUAAAAUGUGACUUGAUACAUCCGUAUCUAGACAUAUCUAAGACAAGAAUUUUGGGACGGAGGGAGUACUUU
rnacentral:pre_miRNA from 1 species